rnacentral:rRNA from 1 species
AUAUCAAUAAGCGGAGGAAAAGAAACCAACAGGGAUUGCCUUAGUAACGGCGAGUGAAGCGGCAAAAGCUCAAAUUUGAAAUCUGGCACUUUCAGUGUCCGAGUUGUAAUUUGAAGAAGGUAACUUUGGAGUUGGCCCUUGUCUAUGUUCCUUGGAACAGGACGUCACAGAGGGUGAGAAUCCCGUGCGAUGAGGUGUCCAAUUCUAUGUAAAGUGCUUUCGAAGAGUCGAGUUGUUUGGGAAUGCAGCUCUAAGUGGGUGGUAAAUUCCAUCUAAAGCUAAAUAUUGGCGAGAGACCGAUAGCGAACAAGUACAGUGAUGGAAAGAUGAAAAGAACUUUGAAAAGAGAGUGAAAAAGUACGUGAAAUUGUUGAAAGGGAAGGGCUUGAGAUCAGACUCGGUAUUUUGCAAGCCUAUCCUUCGUGGAGAGGUUUAUUAGCAGCUUACCGGGCCAGCAUCGGUUUGGAUGGUAGGAUAAUGGCAUUGGAAUGUGGCUCUUCGGAGUGUUAUAGCCUUUGUUGAUACUGCCUAUCUAGACCGAGGACUGCGUCUUUGACUAGGAUGCUGGCGUAA